UAGGGAAUCUUCGGCAAUGGACGAAAGUCUGACCGAGCAACGCCGCGUGAGUGAAGAAGGUUUUCGGAUCGUAAAACUCUGUUGUUAGAGAAGAACAAGGACGUUAGUAACUGAACGUCCCCUGACGGUAUCUAACCAGAAAGCCACGGCUAACUACGUGCCAGCAGCCGCGGUAAUACGUAGGUGGCAAGCGUUGUCCGGAUUUAUUGGGCGUAAAGCGAGCGCAGGCGGUUUCUUAAGUCUGAUGUGAAAGCCCCCGGCUCAACCGGGGAGGGUCAUUGGAAGCUGGGAGACUUGAGUGCAGGAGAGGAGAGUGGAAUUCCAUGUGUAGAGGUGAGAUGCGUAGAUAUAUGGAGGAACACCAGUGGCGAAGGCGGCUCUCUGGUCUGUAACUGGCGCUGAGGCUCGGUAGCGUGGAGAGAAAACAGG
rnacentral:rRNA from 1 species